rnacentral:rRNA from 1 species
AUACGGAGGAUGCGAGCGUUAUCCGGAUUUAUUGGGUUUAAAGGGAGCGUAGGCGGUUUGCUAAGCGGGAGGUGAAAUGCCGGCGCUCAACGUCGGAAGUGCCUCCCGAACUGGUGGACUGGAAUGACUCUGCCGUGGGAGGAAUGUGUAGUGUAGCGGUGAAAUGCUUAGAGAUUACACAGAACACCGAUUGCGAAGGCAUCUCACGAAGGGUUGAUUGACGCUGAGGCACGAAAGCGUGGGGAUCAGACAGGAUUAGAUACCCUGGUAGUCCACGCAGUAAACGAUGAUGGCUAACCGCUGGUUUAUUCGGAUCAGUGGCCAAGCGAAAGCGAUAAGCCAUCCACCUGGGGAGUACGACCGCAAGGUUGAAACUUAAAGGAAUUGACGGGG